UAUAAAGUGGCGAACGGCUGAGUAACACGUGGGCAACCUGCCCUUUGCACUGGGAUAGCCUCGGGAAACCGAGGUUAAUACCGGAUACUCCAUAUUUGUCGCAUGGCGAAUAUGGGAAAGCUCCGGCGGCAAAGGAUGGGCCCGCGGCCUGUUAGCUAGUUGGUGGGGUGGUGGCCUACCAAGGCAAUGAUGGGUAGCCGGGUUGAGAGACCGACCGGCCAGAUUGGGACUGAGACACGGCCCAGACUCCUACGGGAGGCAGCAGGU
rnacentral:rRNA from 1 species